rnacentral:lncRNA from 10 species
AAGAGGUUUCUAAAAAUCUCUCAUUAUGAUUAUGGAUUUAUCAAAUUCAUAUGUCAUUUAUAUGGAGAAUAGUCUAUAAAGGAACAUUAAUGGAAAUAGUUGGAAGGCUGGUGCAGUGGUCUGGGUGAGACAUGGUGGUAGUUUGGCCUAAGAUGGUAAGAAUGUGGAGAGAACAGGAGAGAAAGCAAUUAAUCCUGAUUCUUAGGUUUCUGGUGUGGACAAAUGAUGGUAUGGUUGGUGGUACCAAUUACCAAAUGGCAUGCCACUGAGCAAUGUUUUUCCUUGAGCACAUUACAUAAACUCUCUGGAUUCUAUUUUCUUAUUUAUCAAAAUGGAUAUAACAAUAGAUUGUAUUUCAUAGUGUUAUUGGGAUGGUGAGAAGAGUUAAUAUAUGUAAAGUGCUUAGCACAAUAUCUAAGUCGUUGUUCAAUGUGUGCUUUUGUUAUUACCAAUUAGGAUAUAGUUAAAGGAGGGAAACUUUGGGUUUGAAGUGGGAAAUGAAGUUUUUCUGCGGAGGCUCAUGACAUGUGAGUUGUUUUAUAAGUUAUCUUUCAGUAAAGAGGGUCUGAGUCAUCUUCGCAAAUGCUGGCAGGGCUGAAAGAGAAUGGAAGUGAGAGAAGACCACUGGAAGGUCAAAGGCAACUUUCAAGAAGUAGCAGAAUGCAGAAAAGAUUUUCUUAAGGUUGGGAAGUGUCCCAGUGUGAUUGAUUCUGGGUAAGAUAGCCAGCCGUCCGCAAAACGCUGCAGGAGAGCACAACUCUGGGAAAAAAUGACAGCAAUUAACAGAGUAACAGGAACUUACAGAACAACAGUAACUUACCUCGAGUGUGAUUUAUCAUAUGAUUUUAGUAAACAGAUUACGCUAGCGACAGUUGCUAAGAAGUCUGUUUUAAAUUUUUGGUGCAAAAGGAAAAAGUGAUUAACUUGACAAAGAUUCAUAAGCACAUAUGUUUCCAGCUCUGAGCUGUGGGGCAGAAUGAAAACUGAAGUUGUGGAUUCUAUAGUAUUCACUGCCUUGGCAGAUUUCGAUGUGAGAUUAUGCAUGACUACAC